GAAGGGACCUAGCGUAGUUCGGAAUUACUGGGCUUAAAGAGUUCGUAGGUGGUUAAAAAAGUUGGUGGUGAAAUCCCAGAGCUUAACUCUGGAACUGCCAUCAAAACUUUUUAGCUAGAGUAUGAUAGAGGAAAGCAGAAUUUCUAGUGUAGAGGUGAAAUUCGUAGAUAUUAGAAAGAAUACCAAUUGCGAAGGCAGCUUUCUGGAUCAUUACUGACACUGAGGAACGAAAGCAUGGGUAGCGAAGAGGAUUAGAUACCCUCGUAGUCCAUGCCGUAAACGAUGUGUGUUAGACGUUGGAAAUUUAUUUUCAGUGUCGCAGCGAAAGCAAUAAACACACCGCCUGGGGAGUACGACCGCAAGGUUAAAACUCAAAUGAAUUGACGGGGACCCGCACAAGUAGUGGAGCAUGUGGUUUAAUUCGAAGAUACGCGCAGAACCUUACCAACACUUGACAUGUUCGUCGCGACUCUAAGAGAUUAGAGUUUUCGGUUCGGCCGGACGAAACACAGGUGCUGCAUGGCUGUCGUCAGCUCGUGUCGUGAGAUGUUGGGUUAAGUCCCGCAACGAGCGCAACCCUCACUUUUAGUUGCCAUCAUUUAGUUGGGCACUCUGAAAGAACUGCCAGUGAUAAGCUGGAGGAAGGUGGGGAUGACGUCAAGUCCUCAUGGCCCUUACGUGUUGGGCUACACACGUGCUACAAUGGUAUUUACAACAGGAAGCAAGACGGCAACGUUAAGCAAAUCCCUAAAAAAUACCUCAGUUCGGAUUGCACUCUGCAACUCGAGUGCAUGAAGCUGGAAUUACUAGUAAUCGUGGAUCAGCGUGCCACGGUGAAUACGUUCCCGGGUCUU
rnacentral:rRNA from 1 species